AGCUAGUGGACAUAUUAUCAUAAACUAGUCUAUCACAUGCACCAAAUAAGUAAAUAAUAAUUACAAAUUUGAUAGGAGGGAAGAUAUGAUAAUUCCACAUGUCAAGAAGAUAUACCUUUAGGGAAAUCCACAAAAUAUAUACUAGCCUGCCUACACUUGAAUGCAAGAGACUUAAUGAUGUUGAACUGGCCUCAGAGAGGAAACAGAUGAUGUGUUCUUGAUGUGUGUUAAAAAACUGGCACAGAAUCAAGAUCUAGUAGUGGUGGGACAUAAUCUGGCCAUCUGCUGGAGGCUUAGUCAGCUACAUAAGAGCAUCUGACAAGUUUUGACCUGCUUGAUGAAAAUUCUUUCCCAGAGUGUGAAGAAAGAUGAUGUCAAAACUCAUCUCAGAAACUAUAAUACUAACAUUUUGUAUUUUUGUAAAAAAAUGUAUAUGCUUAUGUUUUUAUGUUCAUUUAUUUAAAAAAUAUAUACAAAAUCUUUACAAGUAGGACCUAGUUACACUGGUUGCCUCUGGGAAAGGGAGCUAGAUGAUUCUUGGGGACAAGGGCUGUUAAGAAAUACUUUUCACUAUUUUACUUUAGAAAUGUUGAACUAUACAAUUAUAUUAGCUAUUCCAAAAUAUGAAUUAAAAUAAUCAAAGUCAAAAAAAAGGGAGUAAGAAAAAAUUCCCAAACAAAACAAUACUCAAGCUGGGUAACGGGGGAAGAAUCCUU
rnacentral:lncRNA from 1 species